UUUCUCUGAAGCUCUCUCUCGAUCCAUUUUCUCUGAAGCUCUAUCUCAAUCCAUUUUCUUUGAAGUUGUUCUCGGUGUUACCAUUUAUCUAAAGCGUUGAAAAGUGGUAAGCAAUCUUUGUCAUCCCAUCAUGGAGCACGUGAUUGAUGGCAAGUUUAAAUUGGGAACGGGUCUUUUGGGGAGCUCUAUUUAGGUGUUAAUAUAUAAACUGGAGAGAAGAUGGCUGUUAAGCUGAUGUUUGAUGAUUGUGGUGUAUCAAGGAAAGAAAUGAGUGAGACAUUUAUGAAAGCAUCAGUUAAUCCAACUGGCGAGGAUUUGAAGAAACGAAGAAAGUCAACAAGCAAUAUGAAACACCAAAAACAUAUAUGGUGCUUUAAAGGAACAAGAUGCUCUAUUUGAAGAACUUGAAGAAGAGUUAUUUGCAUUGCAGGCCGAGCUGCUUGAAGAGAAUAAUAAAGAUGAUGGUGAUUACAGUACACCAUGUAAAGAACAUGACAAUUACAAUGACUUUGCAUGUGAGGGAGGAAUUUACAGCCAUGAAACCGUUAUGAAGGAAGGACUACGCCGAAAGUGUUACAAAAGCAAAGCUUGUAGAACUCCUUACACUGGAAUAGUCCAAGACUUUAUUUAUCUAUGUAAUUUGUAUUUGGAAGAA